ACAUUAUGAAAACGUCAUCAUUUUGACGUUUUCAGACAACAGAGAGGAGUUGGUUUGCAAGAGGAGGCAUUAUCUUGAUGGUGGAGACAAACUGUCGAGCCCGGAGGAGAAAGGGAAGGGGAAAAGGAAGAAACUGAAGAAUGGUCGAUAUUCUGACGACGACGACGUAUCGCUGGAUCCUCAGUUAAGUCAAUGUAAGAAGAAGAAGAAGAGAAAAAACACAGGUCUUAACGCCUUAAUGGAACUGGAAAAGCAAGGUAUUGGUGCAGUGGUGCAGUGAAAUUCACUUUUUAAGCAAAACAGAAAAAUGAAAAGUUAUUUCCCUGUACUCGGAAGUUCUUCUUCAUCAAAUAAAGAUGGAAACUUGGAAAAAAAAUCCACGCAUGGAAGAGAUUGACUCGGCAACCACAAGCACAGAACCGGCACCUUCGGACGAAGCCGACUCCACCCAUGACUCCGUCUCGGCCAACGGGAAAACGUACAGGUUUAACCCCCAGUGGUUAAAAACGUUCAAUUGGCUGGUCUACGACCAAUCCAAGAAGUCUAUGUUUUGUAAAUAUUGCCUCGAGAUGCUGCAAAGUUGAAGUUCACCUACGUAACUGAUACGAACAUAAAAGCAUUUAUACGACAAAAGCUGAACAAUGCUGCCAAAUUUCAGAAACAAUAACUUAUCAACUGUUUAAAGAAAGUUAAACUUUUGUUCUAUUUUUUUUGUAUUUUAG
ensembl:lncRNA